rnacentral:rRNA from 1 species
UACGAGGGGGGCAAGCGUUGUUCGGAAUUACUGGGCGUAAAGGGAGCGUAGGCGGGCUCUUAAGUUGGAUGUUUAAAACCGGGGCCUAACCCCGGCGUGGCAUCCAAAACUGGGAGUCUUGAAUGGGACAGAGGCCAGUGGAAUUAGAGGUGUAGCGGUGGAAUGCGUAGAUAUCUCUAAGAACACCAGUUGCGAAGGCGGCUGGCUGGGUCCACAUUGACGCUGAGGCUCGAAAGCGUGGGGAGCAAACAGG